rnacentral:tRNA from 1 species
GGUGAGGUAGCCAAGAGGCUGAAGGCGCUCCCCUGCUAAGGGAGUAUACAGUAAAAGCUGUAUCGAGGGUUCGAAUCCCUCCCUCACCG